CGGGGCGUAGCGCAGCUUGGUAGCGCAUCUGCAUGGGGUGCAGAGGGUCGCAGGUUCAAAUCCUGCCGUCCCGACCA
rnacentral:tRNA from 12 species